AGGGGGAUAGUGUAAUGGUGUACCACUCGGUGUGACUACUAGAGUCAGCGGGUUCGAAUCCCGCUCCCCCCA
rnacentral:tRNA from 1 species